rnacentral:rRNA from 1 species
AUGAGAUCGACACAAGGCUUUCGCCUUAAGCAAACCAUCCCAAUCAACUCCGCCGAAGUUGUCACCGAGUCCAGCAGCUGGAGACCUCCCCACCCUCCUACCAGACCACGACGAGCGUCCUCGCUAGGACUAGCACGAGGCUUCGGUGACGCAGACACUCACCUCGAGCACCCGCACAGCCGAAGUCAGCUCGGUGUCAGCUGCAGCUCGCAUCCAAGCCCUCGCUGCCGGUCACACCCCACCACCAGCACAUAG